rnacentral:rRNA from 1 species
CCUACGGGAGGCAGCAGUGGGGAAUAUUGGACAAUGGGCGAAAGCCUGAUCCAGCAAUGCCGCGUGAGUGAUGAAGGCCUUCGGGUCGUAAAGCUCUUUUACCAGGGAUGAUAAUGACAGUACCUGGAGAAUAAGCUCCGGCUAACUCCGUGCCAGCAGCCGCGGUAAUACGGAGGGAGCUAGCGUUGUUCGGAAUUACUGGGCGUAAAGAGUACGUAGGCGGUUAUUCAAGUCAGAGGUGAAAGCCCGGGGCUCAACCCCGGAACUGCCUUUGAAACUAGGUAACUAGAGUCUUGGAGAGGUUAGUGGAAUUCCGAGUGUAGAGGUGAAAUUCGUAGAUAUUCGGAAGAACACCAGUGGCGAAGGCGACUAACUGGACAAGUACUGACGCUGAGGUACGAAAGCGUGGGGAGCAAACAGGAUUAGAUACCCUGGUAGUCCACGCCGUAAACGAUGAUAACUAGUUGUUCGGUCACUUGGUGACUGAGUGACGCAGCUAACGCAUUAAGUUAUCCGCCUGGGGAGUACGGUCGCAAGAUUAAAACUCAAAAGGAAUUGACGG